AUGAACACAAUUCUGGCUGAGCUGACUAGGGUUUGUGUACUUGUUUUUGUUGAUGACAUCUUAAUCUACAGCAAAUCCUUGCAAGAUCAUGUCACCCAUUUGCAGCAAGUAUUUGACCUUCUGAAGCAGAAUCAACUAUAUGUGAAGUUGAAUAAAUGUUCAUUUGCUCAACCACAGAUAGAAUACCUGGGUCAUGUCAUUAGUGGGCAAGGGGUGGCUACAGACUAA
rnacentral:rRNA from 1 species